rnacentral:rRNA from 1 species
ACAAACCGUGGGUCCUCCGCCGGUAGGGUGACUUCAGGCCACGCCUGGGUCACCUGAUCGCGGAGGUUGCGGAAGGUGGACAGCUUGCUUUUAAGGCACAGUCUUGCGCGGGGUGUCCCCUGGACUGUGCUGGCAACUGUAUGGCCGCAUCCUUCUUAUACCAGUACCUUUUCUUCUCCUUCGGUGGGGCAACCUGCCGCUGGAACUUCAAAACCAAUUUGCAUCUAGUAUUACCUGUUCUGACAAAAAACAAUCGUUACAACUUUCAACAAUGGAUCUCUUGGCUCUGGCAUCGAUGAAGAACGCAGCGAAAUGCGAUAAGUAGUGUGAAUUGCAGAAUUCAGUGAAUCAUCGAAUCUUUGAACGCACAUUGCGCCCCUUGGUAUUCCAUGGGGCAUGCCUGUUCGAGCGUCAUCUACACCCUCAAGCUCUGCUUGGUGUUGGGCGUCUGUCCCGCCUCUGCGCGUGGACUCGCCCCAAAUCGAUUGGCAGCGGCCUUUGCCUUUAUCUCGCGUAGCACAUAUGCAGAUACGUGUUGGCCCGCGACCAGAAAGCUUAUUUCGUCUUUGACCUCGGAUCAGGUAGGGAUACCCGCUGAACUUAAGCAUAUCAUA